UACGUAGGGCGCAAGCGUUGUCCGGAAUUAUUGGGCGUAAAGAGCUCGUAGGCGGUCUGUCGCGUCCGUUGUGAAAACUCGAGGCUCAACCUCGGGCUUGCAGUGGAUACGGGCAGACUAGAGUGCGGUAGGGGAGACUGGAAUUCCUGGUGUAGCGGUGGAAUGCGCAGAUAUCAGGAGGAACACCGAUGGCGAAGGCAGGUCUCCGUGGGCCGCAACUGACGCUGAGGAGCGAAAGCAUGGGGAGCGAACAGG
rnacentral:rRNA from 1 species